UACGUAGGGGGCUAGCGUUAUCCGGAAUUAUUGGGCGUAAAGAGCGCGCAGGUGGUUGAUUAAGUCUGAUGUGAAAGCCCACGGCUUAACCGUGGAGGGUCAUUGGAAACUGGUCGACUUGAGUGCAGAAGAGGGAAGUGGAAUUCCAUGUGUAGCGGUGAAAUGCGUAGAGAUAUGGAGGAACACCAGUGGCGAAGGCGGCUUCCUGGUCUGUAACUGACACUGAGGCGCGAAAGCGUGGGGAGCAAACAGGAUUAGAUACCCCCGUAGU
rnacentral:rRNA from 1 species